rnacentral:rRNA from 1 species
GACGUAGGGCGCGAGUGUUGUCCGGAUUUAUUGGGCGUAAAGAGCUCGUAGGCGGCUUGUCGCGUCGACUGUGAAAUCCCGAGGCUCAACUUCGGGCUUGCAGUCGAUACGGGCAGGCUAGAGUUCGGUAGGGGAGACUGGAAUUCCUGGUGUAGCGGUGAAAUGCGCAGAUAUCAGGAGGAACACCGAUGGCGAAGGCAGGUCUCUGGGCCGAUACUGACGCUGAGGAGCGAAAGCGUGGGGAGCGAACAGG